AUUGUGUCGUUCAGAAUUUCAGUCGUAGGGAAGCAUUCACAUGCUAAGGAGCUAGUUCCAGGGCCUGGGCUAAAGGCGGAGGGUGGAAGCCAAGCCGCCACUUCCACCCGUCAAAGCAAUCAGUCGUGUGACUCUGUGCAGACGUGGGUGCCUGUCGUCCGGGAGAAGUUCGAAAGGUUCUGAAAACGGCCAGCCUUUUGAGGAGUUUAGCGUAGGAUGCUGGUCAAUGGCGAGAUGUUUGCUCCUCCGUGGAGCAGCUAAGCGCCAGAUCCCCAGGUAGCUGCUUCUUACGGCCGUGAAUUGCAGAUCGAAGUGGAAGGCACGGCGGACUCAGACUUGAAGAUCCUCGCUUCGCACAUUUAUGACGGAUAGGACACUUAAAAGUGAUGAGUGGUGCCGCAUCUGGAGGCUUGUGCUGGGGGCGCCUGUCAUUACAAGGCAGUUCGAGCGGAUCGCUCUUUCCUUGAGAGGUCUCUCUUAUUGGAAUCGAUUUCGCACCUGACCGUCUGAGAGAAGGGGGAUCAGAGUGUGGAUCGAUUGCAGGGUCCCUCAUCCCCGACAUUGUGGAGAAGUUAAAUCUCGAGCAGAAGCACAGAUGAUUCGCUCGAUUUGCUGAUCGAUCUUAUGAUAUUUUGCCCAGUACUACGUUGCGACUAAGCCAGUGGGAUUUUCUGUACUCUGCACUCUGCACUCUGCACAACUGCAAUCGAUGAGAUCCAAGCAGAGCUCUACAACCAUUCUCAAGGGCCCUUGUGGUGUUUUGUGGUGACAAUGGGCUUUUGAUAUGUGCUAUCCUUCCAUGGUCAACGCUGAGAUCUGCAGUUCAGCUUUCGCGUCUGCCCGGGGUUCCACGCAAGAUUGCUUGAAGACUUGGGAACACUCAUCGCGAGAGAGCUUCUAUACCCGGGGAUACCCCUCGCCUACGACUGCUGGCUCUUGUUGCUCCCGAUACUGUGUCGAAGGGAUAUAAAAAUUAAAUGUCACUUUGGUUUUUACGCUCAGA